UACAGGGGGUGCAAACGUUGCUCGGAAUCAUUGGGCGUAAAGCGCACGUAGGCGGUUCGUUAUGUCGGAUGUGAAAGCCCUUGGCUUAACCGAGGAAGUGCAUCCGAAACUGGCGAGCUAGAGUACUAAAGAGGAUCGCGGAAUUCCCGGUGUAGAGGUGAAAUUCGUAGAUAUCGGGAGGAACACCGGUGGCGAAGGCGGCGAUCUGGGUAGAUACUGACGCUGAGGUGCGAAAGCGUGGGGAUCAAACAGG
rnacentral:rRNA from 1 species